UGUGUGGCUGAGAGGGAGAGUUCUCACUGCAGGUUCUUUUUCGGGAACCCUCUCAGGGGACAAGGUGAGAGUGGACGUGGGGCCCCUGAUCUCUCAGGCCAAGCAGAGGGUCAACAGCCUGAUCCAGAGUGGGGUGGAUGAGUGAGCACAGCUGCUGCUCAACGGCAGGAAAGUCAAGGGCUAUGAUAAUGGCAACUUUUUGCGACCAACCAUCAUCGGCAAUGUCACACCCCAAAUUAAGUGCUAUACUGAGGAGGUCCCUGGGCCUGUUUUGGUGGUUCUGGAGGCUGAAUCUUUAGAUGAUGCCAUCAGCCUGGUCAACGAUGACCCCUAUGGCAAUAGCACAGCUAUCUUCACCACAAACGGAGCCACAGCACGCAAAUACACUCACGAGGUGGACAUAGGCCAGAUUGGGAUAAAUGUUCCUAUCCCUGUUCCUCUGCCCAUGUUCUCCUUCACUGGCUCAUGAGGUUCUUUCAGAGGAGCCACCAACUUCUAUGGCAAAAGUGUAUCAGUUGACAUAAGUAGACAAACAGGAGGUUGUGCUGGACAAUUUCCACAUGAAGGUUUGAGAUUCUGUGGCUGACUAGUGAUGUAAACCACCCGGUCCUCUUAACUCGGGAUAACUGGUCAAAGCCAACUUUAUUCAGUCCAGAUUUUCAGCUUUGUUUAAUGUUCUCAGUGAUGUAAUACGGUCAUGAUGCCACAUAUAUCUAGUUACAAAGCAGCAUAUUAUUGUUGUCUUCGCUACUUUCUACUGGGCAUCCAGGUUUACACACAGAUCAAAACUGUUCUUCACAAUGGUAGGAAGAAGACUCCCACUGUGCAAACUCCUUCAGUUUACAUGUCAACUAUGGGACGCUAACUGGUCUUGUAUGAAAACAUUUCCCAUGUCUUUUGUGAAGCAAAAUGUCAAAACUACUGUGCAGUCCCGUCCAUAAGUUGCUAAUUACCCACAGAUGUGUUUUUUUGUCUUCUUCAAUGGUAUCUCAAGAUUCACUCACUCACUCACUAUGGAUAAAUAGUUUGGCUUCAUUGUUGAUUGACAGUACCCUUGUUCUAUGCAAGUUUCUCGUUAUUAUGUGUAUAUUAGGCUAGCAGCUCCCAAGGGUUCUUACAGAUCAUGACGAUCUAUGUUACGUUUUUGGCAAUAAUGUGAAA